CCUACGGGAGGCAGCAGUGAGGAAUAUUGGUCAAUGGCCGGAAGGCUGAACCAGCCAAGUCGCGUGAAGGAUGAAGGAUCUAUGGUUUGUAAACUUCUUUUAUAUGGGAAUAAAGUGAGGAACGUGUUCCUUUUUGUAUGUACCAUAUGAAUAAGCAUCGGCUAACUCCGUGCCAGCAGCCGCGGUAAUACGGAGGAUGCGAGCGUUAUCCGGAUUUAUUGGGUUUAAAGGGUGCGUAGGUUGUUUUUUAAGUCAGCGGUGAAAGUUUGUGGCUCAACCAUAAAAUUGCCGUUGAAACUGGAAGACUUGAGUGUGUUUGAGGUAGGCGGAAUGCGUGGUGUAGCGGUGAAAUGCAUAGAUAUCACGCAGAACUCCGAUUGCGAAGGCAGCUUACUAAGCCAUAACUGACACUGAAGCACGAAAGCGUGGGGAUCAAACAGGAUUAGAUACCCGGGUAGUC
rnacentral:rRNA from 1 species